GCAUAGUUCAAACAAACAUGUCUCUAAUAUAACAAUAAACAUAUUUUACCUUAUCAUUUUGAUCGGAGUCCGUCACCAGUUUUAUAGCUCUAAGGAUAUCCAAAGUGGAAACACAAUAGAGUUCAAGGGUACAGUACACAACUUUAAGGCUUACACCAAGCUCCAGGCAAUUGGAAUCGAUGUUCUCUUUUUCAAUUUGAGCACAAUUUGUUUGUCUUCUUUCUUGAUCUCUCUCGGAUCUCAAAGCUCUACUUGUAUUCUUUUUGUUAGUUUGUAUGCAUAUUAGGAUGUAUACUAAUCGUAGGUCGAUCAUUCUUAUCCACGAGUCGGGCCAUUAUGGAAUUUGAAGCAGGCAAGCUGAAUUUGAGGGUGGAUGGUAAACAUAAAAAAUUCCAUGUUUGUGUUGACAAGCUAUCUUAUGAUGAGAAAAGCUGAAAAGUUAAAGAGGAAAAAGUAAAUGAUUAUGUAAA
rnacentral:lncRNA from 1 species